rnacentral:rRNA from 1 species
AUUGAACGCUGGCGGUAUGCUUAACACAUGCAAGUCGAACGGUAGCAGGCCUUCGGGCGCUGACGAGUGGCGGACGGGUGAGUAAUGCAUAGGAAUCUGCCUAUUAGUGGGGGAUAACGUGGGGAAACUCACGCUAAUACCGCAUACGACCUACGGGUGAAAGCUGGGGACCUUCGGGCCUGGCGCUAAUAGAUGAGCCUAUGUCGGAUUAGCUAGUUGGUAGGGUAAAGGCCUACCAAGGCGACGAUCCGUAGCUGGUCUGAGAGGAUGAUCAGCCACACUGGGACUGAGACACGGCCAAGACUCCUACGGGAGGCAGCAGUGGGGAAUAUUGGACAAUGGGCGAAAGCCUGAUCCAGCAAUACCGCGUGUGUGAAGAAGGCCUGAGGGUUGUAAAGCACUUUCAAUGGGAAGGAAUACCUAUCGGUUAAUACCCGGUAGACUGACAUUACCCAUACAAGAAGCACCGGCUAACUCCGUGCCAGCAGCCGCAGUAACAC